UGGCACAUGUGUCUUAAAUGGUAAUUGGGCUGCAUUUAUGUCACACUUUCCAUCUGAAUCAGAAGCUCAAAGGGCUGUACAAUGAUGCCUCACAUU